GUUUUUGAAGAUAGCCCAGUGGACUAACAUUGUCCCAUGUUGGUUUUCUUGUGUUUCUCCUCCCACAGGAAUGAGCUUGAAAGACAGUUUUUGCAGCUAAUUGACUAUAACGUCGAAGUUUCUGGAAGUGUUUAUGCCAAGUACUAUUUUGAUCUUCGAUCCUUGGCAAAGGACAAUAGCUUGCAUUUUCCAGUUUAUCUUCUCAACAAAGAAAGGGCACAGAACCUGGAACUCAUGCAGUGUUUCUGGAAACUAGUUUAGCUGCAGUAUGCAAGUUAGCUUGAAUUUUUCGUCAGCAAAGGCUUCUCCCUAAGCACAUUUAAGAUGACUGUGGCCUGACUGUUCCUUCACACAGCAUUGUUGAAUAUGAAACUACUUGGAAAAUGAUUUCACAGACGGCAGAGAAAUCUCCCAGAUAUUCUUUAAAAGAAGUGUAUUUCUUCAUAGAAACAUGACGAGAAAAAGACUUCCAUGGCAUCUUUUUAUUUUCUUCACUAUUGCUUUAAUGCAUUUUAAAAUUAAUCUAUAUUAAUUGAGAAUAAAGGAAC
rnacentral:lncRNA from 1 species